UAAGUAGUCGCAGGGUUGGAAAAUCCGCCCUGCAUAAGACGAAGGCGUGAUGCGGAGCGAAAUGAAGUAGUGAAGCUGCGGCCCCUUCCUGUCGAGAAAAGCCGCUAUCGUGUAGCAAGGGCCCGUACCGUAAACCGACAGGUGGAUGAGGAGAGGAUCCUAAGGCCGGCGGGAGAAGUGUUGUUAAGGAACUCGGCAAAAUGACUCCGUAACUUCGGGAGAAGGAGUGCUGCGCAAGCAGCCGCAGAGAAAUGGCCCAAGCAACUGUUUAGCAAAAACACAGGUCUAUGCGAAACCGGAAGGUGAGGUAUAUGGGCUGACGCCUGCCCGGUGCUGGAAGGUUAAGGGGAGAGCUUAGCAUAAGCGAAGGUUUGAACUUAAGCCCCAGUAAACGGCGGCCGUAACAAUAACGGUCCUAAGGUAGCGAAAUUCCUUGUCGGGUAAGUUCCGACCCGCACGAAAGGCGUAAUGAUUUGGGCACUGUCUCAACAACACACCCGGUGAAAUUGAAAUACCAGUGAAGAUGCUGGUUACCCGCGCCAGGACGGAAAGACCCCAUGGAGCUUUACUCCAGCCUGAUACUGGGAUUCGGUAUUGCAUGUACAGGAUAGGUGGGAGGCUAAGAACUUAUGGCGCCAGCCGUAAGGGAGCCGAUGUUGGGAUACCACCCCUGCAGUACUGGGUUUCUAACCUGCGCCCGUGACCCGGGCGGGGGACAAUGUCAGGCGGGGAGUUUGACUGGGGCGGUCGCCUCCGAAAGGGUAUCGGAGGCGCUCAAAGGUCUCCUCAGGAUGGUUGGAAACCAUCCAGAGAGUGCAAAGGCAGAAGGAGGCUUGACUGCGACACCGACGGGUGGAGCAGGUACGAAAGUAGGACUUAGUGAUCCGGUGGCAUAAAGUGGGAUUGCCAUCGCUCAACGGAUAAAAGCUACCCUGGGAUAACAGGCUUAUCACUCCCAAGAGUUCACAUCGACGGAGUGGUUUGGCACCUCGAUGUCGGCUCAUCGCAUCCUGGAGCUGGAGCAGGUUCCAAGGGUUGGGCUGUUCGCCCAUUAAAGCGGUACGCGAGCUGGGUUCAGAACGUCGUGAGACAGUUCGGUCCCUAUCCGGCGCGGGCGCAGGAUAUCUGAGAGGAGCUGUCCUUAGUACGAGAGGACCGGGAUGGACCGUCCGCUGGUGGACCGGUUGUCAUGCCAAUGGCACGGCCGGGUAGCCAAGACGGGAAGGGAUAAACGCUGAAGGCAUCUAAGCGUGAAGCCCCCCUCAAGAUGAGAUAUCCAUACUCGAAAGAGUGAGAGACCCCUUAGAGACGAUGAGGUAGAUAGGGCAGAGAUGGAAGCACAGCGAUGUGUGGAGUUGACUGUUACUAAUCGGUCGAAAGCUU
rnacentral:rRNA from 1 species